UACGUAGGGUGCAAGCGUUGUCCGGAAUUAUUGGGCGUAAAGAGCUCGUAGGCGGUCUGUCGCGUCUGCUGUGAAAACUCAGGGCUUAACCCUGAGCUUGCAGUGGGUACGGGCAGACUAGAGUGCGGUAGGGGAGACUGGAAUUCCUGGUGUAGCGGUGAAAUGCGCAGAUAUCAGGAGGAACACCGGUGGCGAAGGCGGGUCUCUGGGACGGUACUGACGCUGAGACGCGAAAGCGUGGGGAGCGAACAGG
rnacentral:rRNA from 1 species